rnacentral:rRNA from 1 species
CGUGUAGGCGGUCAGGUAAGUGGGAUGUGAAAUGCCCCGGCUCACCCGGGGACCGGCAUCCCAUACUGCUUGGCUUGAGUACGGGAGAGGAUGUGGGAAUUCCUGGUGUAGCGGUGAAAUGCGUAGAUAUCAGGAGGAACACCGGUGGCGAAGGCGCACAUCUGGCCCGAUACUGACGCUGAGGCGCGAAAGCUAGGGGAGCAAACG